GAUUUGCAAAUAUGGCUCGUUAUAUGAUUCCAAUGCACUAAUAAAUUAGUUUUUACAAUGUAGUAAUCUUUUCAGCAUAUAAUUUUUAUAUAUGCAGUAUAUAUAGUAUAUUUUACUUUUGUAUAUAUAAUAGUUCUGUUUAUGGUAUGUAUUAUGUAUAAUUAAUUUUGUAAUGAAACUUUUUCAAACAAUAUAGCUUAUUAGAAAAACUCCGUAUAAAAAAUACAAAGUGUAUAUACACUGAUAUAAGGUUAUCACAUUUGAAUUUACCGCGUGUUGAUCAAGCGACGUCAUAUGACGGGCGCAUUGGUCGGGCGUCGAGCCGCGGACCGGCCAGUCUUUGUGCAGAUCAUAACCAUAACCCAUAACGUGCAACAGCCGACUCAACGUGUUUCGUCUUGUUUUCAAGCGAAAUUCUAAUCUUUGUAGUCUUGUGGUAGCAAAUUCCUAGCAAAAUCCGUGGAAAUAAUUUAAUAGCCAAUAUAAGAAAAGGAGCAUUGUUAUAUUAUAAUUCAAAAUGGAGGACUGCAAAACCACCACUAUUUUGUUGAAGUUUGGUAAUACAGCUGAUCUAGAUAAACCCGAAAAUUACGUGAAGCGCUGGUUUAGCACAAGUGCUCAGCGAGUGGUGUAAAUGCGUUUCAUAAAAAUAGAUAUUGCUAAAAUGUGAUAUAUAUACAUAUAUAUUAUUAGUACUUGUUUUACGCAGCAAUUUAUAUAAUGUGCAAUUUAACUAUAUAAAAUAGAUAUAUAAGCAAGCAUAAUCUACGAUA